CGAGUCGUUGUCUGUUUUGAGGUUAAUAAUUAACUUUUCUUUAUUUAAUAUUUCGAGGUUAUUAUCGCGUCUGAUAUAUUUUAUGUAUGGAGGAUGGUCUUAGGGGAAUGAUGUUAUUGGUAUGUGAUAGGUAUAACAGCCCCGUCACGAAAUAUCGUUUUAAAACGAUUUAUCACGUAUGUUGGGUUUGAAACUUACUUAUUGCUAAUACAUAAGACUAGUUAUCUAUAUCACUUCUGGUUUAGGUCGUUAAAACGAACCUAAUCUCCCGGACUAUACAUAUGUAUGUACCUUUAUAAGUAUCACGUGUUUUCUAAUCAGCGAAACAAGCCUCUCUUUAAUUUACAACAAUUUCUUUAAGGGUGGACGGAUGAUUAAUCUACGAAGAAGCGUCAAGUUGCACGAAGACAAGGACCUUAAAAUGUCCUGAAGAUAUACGUUGUAUCGUAUUAUUACAUUUAAGCAAAGUUUACGAACGUCGUUCAACCAGCGACUGUCAUUCUGCAGACACCAUAGAAAAAUAUUUAAAUCAAAGGGUCAAGGUAUCCCUCGAGAUUUACCCUACACGUCCUUUCACCAUUCAAGCCACAGUUCGUAUUUUCUGUUGAAAAUGCUGUGCCGAUUGAACCCUCAGGUCGAGUAUCUAUUAGAAGAAAAAAAACAAGAGGACAGCCUCAGCCUGCCGUUUCUGCAACAACUGCAACGUGAUUUCUGGCUGUGGCAACUGUUGCUCCUCCAACCGUUGAAAUCUCAUUGGGGGAUGUUUUCUGACAAGACUU